rnacentral:rRNA from 1 species
GACAGAGGUGCCGAGCGUUAGGCGGAAUCACUGGGCUUAAAGCGUGUGUAGGCGGAUUGGUAAGUACCUUGUGAAAUCCCACGGCUUAACCGUGGAACUGCUUGGUAUACUGCUUAUCUUGGGCCACUUAGGGGCUACCGGAACAAACGGUGGAGCGGUGAAAUGCGUAGAUAUCGUUUGGAACGCCGAUGGUGAAAACAGGUAGCUGGGAGUGUGCCGACGCUGAGACACGAAAGCCAGGGGAGCGAACGGG